rnacentral:rRNA from 1 species
CCUACGGGAGGCAGCAGUGGGGGAUAUUGCACAAUGGGGGAAACCCUGAUGCAGCGACGCCGCGUGUGGGAAGACGGUCCUCUGGAUUGUAAACCACUGUCCCCAGGGACGAAGAUGACGGUACCUGGGGAGGAAGCUCCGGCUAACUACGUGCCAGCAGCCGCGGUAAUACGUAGGGAGCGGGCGUUGUCCGGAAUUACUGGGUGAAAAGGGAGCGUAGGCGGGACUGCAAGUUGGGUGUCAAAUCUACCGGCUCAACCGGUAGCCGCACUCAAAACUGCAGGUCUUGAGUGAAGUAGAGGCAGGCGGAAUUCCUAGUGUAGCGGUGAAAUGCGUAGAUAUUAGGAGGAACACCAGUGGCGAAGGCGGCCUGCUGGGCUUUUACUGACGCUGAGGCUCGAAAGUGUGGGGAGCAAACAGGAUUAGAUACCCCUGUAGUC